rnacentral:rRNA from 1 species
ACAUGCAAGUCGAGGGGCAUCAGGAAGAAAGCUUGCUUUCUUUGCUGGCGACCGGCGCACGGGUGAGUAACACGUAUCCAACCUGCCGAUGACUCGGGGAUAGCCUUUCGAAAGAAAGAUUAAUACCCGAUGGUAUAUCUGAAAGGCAUCUUUCAGCUAUUAAAGAAUUUCGGUCAUUGAUGGGGAUGCGUUCCAUUAGGUUGUUGGCGGGGUAACGGCCCACCAAGCCAUCGAUGGAUAGGGGUUCUGAGAGGAAGGUCCCCCACAUUGGAACUGAGACACGGUCCAAACUCCUACGGGAGGCAGCAGUGAGGAAUAUUGGUCAAUGGACGAGAGUCUGAACCAGCCAAGUAGCGUGAAGGAUGACUGCCCUAUGGGUUGUAAACUUCUUUUAUACGGGAAUAAAGUUGGGCACGUGUGCCUUUUUGUAUGUACCGUAUGAAUAAGGAUCGGCUAACUCCGUGCCAGCAGCCGCGGUAAUACGGAGGAUCCGAGCGUUAUCCGGAUUUAUUGGGUUUAAAGGGAGCGUANGCGGAUGCUUAAGUCAGUUGUGAAAGUUUGCGGCUCAACCGUAAAAUUGCAGUUGAUACUGGGUGUCUUGAGUACAGUAGAGGCAGGCGGAAUUCGUGGUG